GAGACGUGUUAAGUGCAGUGCGAGAGGGAGACGCACUCGUAUGGGAAUUUGCAAGCAUUUUCGAGCAUCUCGUGACAUACAAGGAUAUAUGUAGGCUGGUUUUGAACCGUGCAACUGAGAUCUUUGAAAGGUUGUCACUGCCUUUGUGGUGAUUGAGGAGGUCAUCAUUAUAUUAAUCACCAUAAUGGUCAUCCUCGUUGCUACUGUCGCCAGUACUGUCAUCAUCAUCAUCCUCAGUGUUGACCUUUCCUGAGAGAACAUCAUCUAUCCAGUCCUCCAGCUCCU